rnacentral:rRNA from 1 species
AACGAACGCUGGCGGCGUGGAUAAGACAUGCAAGUCGAACGCUGACUUCAGGGUAGCAAUAUUCUGGAGUCGGAGUGGCGCAAGGGUGCGUAACACGUGGGUAAUUUGCCGCGAAGUCUGGGAUAACUUGCUGAAAGGCGAGCUAAUACCGGAUGUGAUGUUUGGGAGGCAUCUCCUGAAUCUCAAAGUUGGGGACCGUAAGGCCUGACGCUUCACGAUAAGCCCGCGGCCUAUCAGCUAGUUGGUGAGGUAACGGCUCACCAAGGCUAAGACGGGUAGCUGGUCUGAGAGGACGACCAGCCUCACUGGAACUGAGACACGGUCCAGACACCUACGGGUGGCAGCAGUCGAGAAUUUUUCUCAAUGGGCGAAAGCCUGAAGGAGCGACGCCGCGUGGGGGAUGAAUGGCUU